CAUGAAAGUUCCAUUUGCUCGUGAAGCUCCAAGCAAAGUACGAUGAUGCUUAAUCUUGGAACCAGCAUAAUGCUGUCUGAAUUCAUGGACUUAUUUUUCUGGAUAAUGCUUCCAACAUGAUUUUCUUUUCAUUUGAGGAGCUCGAACCCGAAACUUGUCACUAAGGAUGGAGAAAUCUGAACCAUCCCAUUACGACCUAUGUGGAUGUAUUUUGUAGGUAGAAAGUUUGUGUAUUGGAGUCCCAUUAAAUUUGGAUUUGCGCAUUGCAAAGACUAUUUUUUGGGACAACACUCGCAACAUGAUUUUUUUCAUUCCGAGGAGCUCGAACUGGAAACUUGUUACUAAGGAUAGAGAAAUCCAAAUCAUUCCAUCA